GAAGGUAUAGCUCAGUGGUAGAGUGCCUGCGUAGGACGCACAAGGUCCUGGGUUCAAUCUCCAGUACCUCCA
rnacentral:tRNA from 1 species